rnacentral:rRNA from 1 species
AGUAACGCGUGAGGAACCUGCCUCAAAGAGGGGGACAACAGUUGGAAACGACUGCUAAUACCGCAUAAGCCCACGGCUCGGCAUCGAGCAGAGGGAAAAGGAGUGAUCCGCUUUGAGAUGGCCUCGCGUCCGAUUAGCUAGUUGGUGAGGUAACGGCCCACCAGGCGACGAUCGGUAGCCGGACUGAGAGGUUGAACGGCCACAUUGGGACUGAGACACGGCCCAG